rnacentral:rRNA from 1 species
CGGGUGAGUAACGCGUAUCCAACCUGCCCCUUACCAGGGAAUAACCCGUUGAAAGACGGACUAAUGCCCUAUGGAGUCCUUUGACGGCAUCAGAUUAGGACUAAAGAUUCAUCGGUAUGGGAUGGGGAUGCGUCUGAUUAGCUUGUUGGCGGGGUAACGGCCCACCAAGGCAUCGAUCAGUAGGGGUUCUGAGAGGAAGGUCCCCCACAUAGGAACUGAGACACGGUCCUAACUCCUACGGGAGGCAGCAGUGAGGAAUAUUGGUCAAUGGGCGCUAGCCUGAACCAGCCAAGUAGCGUGCAGGAUGACGGCCCUAUGGGUUGUAAACUGCUUUUAUGCGGGGAUAAAGUCACCCACGUGUGGGUGUUUGCAGGUACCGCAUGAAUAAGGACCGGCUAAUUCCGUGCCAGCAGCCGCGGUAAUACGGAAGGUCCGGGCGUUAUCCGGAUUUAUUGGGUUUAAAGGGAGUGUAGGCGGCCUGUUAAGCGUGUUG